CCACCCGAUCUCCUCCCUUCCUGGAACCUCCGCUCCUCCUCGAUCUCGCCCUCCCCCAUCUCCUCUGCGCCCGCCGAUGUGGGCCGCGUCUCCGUGUCCUCGGCCAUGCCGGCGGCAGCAGCGAUGCGGUCUGGCGUCGGCGCCGACGGAGUUCCCGUCUCAUCUCCUUUCCCAUUAAUCCCGUGUUUGGAGUCUGGACCAAGCACGACACACCUCGGUGUUGCACGCCGCGACAAUGCCCGCCCGGGCUCAAACCCCCCCUCCCCCACGAGCUCCUCCUCCUCGACGCGCCGCUCUCUUCGUCCCUUCUCUCCUCUGCUCGCCUCUUGGUCGUAGAACUAGUCAGGGCAGGGGACGACAUGGCCGCCGCUAUGCAGUGUCGUCACCGACGACCGCCAGAGGAGCAGCUUCCCCUGCACGCGCCCCAUCCCGCAGAGCGCGCUCCAGCUCAUGGGCUGCAAGCCACGCCACACCUUCAAGGUGUGUCUUCCCCCAUCUUGCUUGUCCCCCAAUCUGUCAGCUCACUUCUUUUCCCUUUGGUUCAGUCUGAAUCUUUAGAUUAGACUCGGUAUCCUACCAUCUCUGCCGCAUCCCUGAACCUCGAUAGCAAGCGAUGUAGAUCAGUGUUUUUUGGGUAUUCCAUACUCCUCAUAUCCUACUUCAAUUGGCUGAUGGGAUCAGUCUCAUAGUGUUUUUGGUUACAAUUAGCGAGCGUUGUACAUCUGCCUCAUAUCCUGCUUCAAUUGGCUGAACCUACAUAGUGUAUUUAAUUGCAGUAUGAUGUUCACAGCAGGGGCGGAGCUACUAGGAGCCUCCCUGAUGCACAGGCAUCAGGGUCGAUGUUGAUAUCUUGAAACGAUUGUGUAGAGUUGUUUGGCCGUGCACCAGGUUAGGCUGACAGCGGUGCAUCAGGUACAGAGACAAUCCCACGGCGGCCUUGUUCGGAACUGGUUCAUGGGUAGGCCGGGUCUUGUUCAGACGUGGCCAGGCCUUGGUGUAGCCUCGUGGGCUGUAGCCUUUUGGGUAGGUUUGGUGUGGCUGGGCAUCAAGGCGUCAAUGCCCUUAGGUGUUGUAGCGUCACGCUGACACGCGAUCACUCGACGAACCACAGUGGAUGGGCGACGCUGCGCUAGGCUCGAGCUUUACACCUAGCAUCAUACAUGCUAAUCUGAUCAGCCACUGACCUCAGCUCCAGCUCAAAGGUAGAGUAUGAUGUAUAGAUGUAGUAAAUUUUAAAUCUCGGGUUAACUAUUGCAAAAAUUGUGCUUUUAGGCGGUAUCUUCUUUAGAUUUUUUUUAGUUCUAUGUACGGGGGUAUUCUGAAGUUGAGAAUUCAGUUCAUUUACUUGACUUUAUCAAAUGUGGAUAGCCACAAGACUGGAGACGGGAGACUUUGUGUAUAGUCUAAUAAUGUUGCAAUAAGUCGCUCCAUCGUCGUAUUUUCCCUCCUUUUUUGCAAUAAUUGUUCAUUCCCAAUUUUUCAGAAACUAUUGCCAAUGUACUAAGUCUUAUUGAGAGAAUGUCAAUAUUGUUGGGCGUCUCCUGCUCUCCCUCUUUUAUAUUUGGUUGUUUGGUCUCACACUGAAGCUGCUAGAUAUAAUGUGGACUCAGGGCCAGAACAGAGAAGAAGCAGAGCAGCUAGCCUCGGGUGUGUGUUCAAGGCAACAAAUGCCCUUUUUUCCACUGAACCACCAACACAUGCUAGCUCUGCUCUUUUGAUGUUCACUUACACAAAAAAAGACCACACUGUAUCCAUACCCGUGCACGCACACAGCCCACACUGUACUACACUAUUUGGGUACAAACUCAGUACAAUAUCUUCAGCUUCUACAAUGGCUUGUCUGACUAGUUAUAUUUGGUUUCAAUGAAUUGAUAGGAACGCAGCCAAAAGAACGGCGAUAACCGUAAGAAACAGAAGACAAAACACAAAAUUGGAUCAAAAUCUUACUCGCAAGUAAGCUUUGAGAAGAGAAACUUGGAACUCACCCACACGAACGACGGAACAUGGUCUAACACAGAGUCCUAGAAAGUUUACAACAAAACACGUCAAGAGGUUCAAAACAAAGAAACUGAAACUGAAGGUCCACUUUCAAGUGAGCAGAAAAACAAUAUUUUCCAGACCUCAUACAAAGACACUCUGAAAUGCAAGUCAUGGCAGCCUCGUGGGUACGGAUACAUGGCCAAACCUUCAACUGGUUCUCAAAGGUUUCGUAUCCAGAUUGAAGAGCAAGCCUACAGCAGCCACCCAACAGCAAAACUCUGAGCUCAGCCAGCAGGUCAACGAAUUACAAGAUCAACUACAAGCUGAACAUGCAAACACACAAGAGAGGAUUAAGUUGGAGCGUGCUGAGAGUGAACACUUGAGGAGAGGUUAAAAGAAGAGCGUGCUGAAAGGGAAAGAUUGUUGGAAGAGGAGCAAACAUCAAGACUGGAAUUUGAAAAAACAUGAUGACAAAGUUUGUAGCAUUGCCAACAGAUGGGAACCCAACAGGUGCCUAAGGAUUGACAAAGAAAAUAGUAACCCAAACUUGCAAAAUACUCUUUUAUAGAGAUCUAGUCCUAAUAAGACUCUAGGUUCAAGGCCAAUUAUUAUUUCUUCAAAUGCGCUCAAGCUGCAGCAAGGAAUUCUCGAAUGUUUAAAGCAAUGGAUCCAAAGAACUAGCUGGCCUGGACUCUAGAUCAGGGACCGUUUAGUCUUCGCAAUUAAUUAGGAUGGCUAAAUUACAUCGGAGUUUCAUUUGAUGGAUAUUUGCUACGAGAAUUAUGAACUUUAUGAAUCUACAUAUUAUAGGGUCUCAAUGAGAGUAACUGUCAAACGUUCGGAGGGCCGUGCCAGGAUGACCUGGAUAGGAGUGUCUUACUUGAUGAAGGCAAGUUAACCCGGG